UUCCGGUAUGGAUUGGAUAUAUGGCGGCGCUCUUGUCGGCCACCUUGCCUGCAGAUCGGUACUCUUGAACUCCAUGAGCGAUGCACCCUUCUGUAAUUCAAGAAGGUGACAGGCUGAAGCACACGACCGUGUCACCGUCUGUGUUUGGCUGUCCUGUCUGCCCCAAAUUCACAACCAGAAGUGAGAGUGUCAUUCAGAGGCACCUGCUGAAUCAUGCGGCGAAUGCAGUGCAUUUCAAGGAAAAAAUAAUCUGCAGAUGCAAUCUGCCCUGCAGAGACGGAGGCCAUUUCCACUGUCCAUUCUGUGAUACAACAAUAAUCCGGAAAGACACCAUUAUGCCCCAUCUUAUGCAAUGUAAAAACAAAUGUGAUAUGGCCCAGCUCACCUCGGCUACACCUCCUCCACCGCCCUCACCAGAGACCCACCCAACCGUUUUGUCAUCAUUAAGUUUUGAACAUUCAUACACUCUCCCACCAUCUGUGUCGGCCGUCAAAAAGGACCAUUCCUACCCACAACCAGCAUCCCAGUCACCCCCACCUCCAACCGCAGAGGAUCCCAUCGCUCCAACAGAAGUGGUAAAUGGGGAUGUGCCACGAACACAUUCGAUGUGCCCGCACUGCUCAGUGGUUUUGUACAAGAGGAAUUUGUUUUUACACAUCAAAAGAAAACAUGGCCAAGUAAAAGAUAUAACAGCCCAAUCACACCUACAAAGUACAUCCAUUGACAAAAGUAACGGUCUCUUUGCCGUCUGGAAAACAUCCAGAGGAUUCAGUAUUCCAGUUCAUGUGCAGCGCAAGACAUGGGGACAGCAUCAGGUAACCAGAUGUGAGAUGGAGGAUUGCCGGCAAAACCACCUGCUGGCACAGCGAAGUGGCCUUUCUCACAGCUUGUGCCAUCACAUCAGAUCAUUAGAUUACUGUAACACCACUGCCAGUGAGGAACAACUGGACCACCAAGUCCUCCAGGAAAUGGUGGAAAACCGUGUUUUUGCUGACUCUAAAAUAGCAGUGUGCAAAGCGAGGCAACAAGAAGCAGAAGAAGCACAUGUCCCCUUGUCGGUCCUCGUUGACUUUACUGGUUUGAAUAAUCAUAUCUGCCUUUCCAUCCACGAACCGAAAUUACACCAUUACAGCACUUUAGGGAGAGUGUUUGUAACCCACAACAUCAAGAAAAACACCUGGCAUUGUCCCUGUGCCAAGGCACUUGCAUCUUGUCCACAUAAAUAUAUUGCCAAGUGGCACCUUUACCAGACACAUAAACACAUUUUCAAGACUGUGCCAUCAACCAUUACAUCAGCAACGGCAGUUCACUCUUCCAGUCACCCCACUGCAGAGAUGGAGAGAAGUGUGAGGUAUGUCUAUAAGAACAAAAAAAUACCAACCCAUCUCCCUGAAGAAGCAACAGCCCGAAGAGCCCCAACAGAUUUUCCUCAGCAGUUGUUUCCAACUGAAACAACUUGCAAGCUCUGUGAAGACAAUCCAGAACUGGAGGAGGCCGUUUUAAUCACUAACAAAGCCACAGUUGUUGGCAUGGAGGGGUUACAAAACAUCUCAACUUACAAUAGAAGAUGCACCAAAUGUCACAUGGUGUACAGAUAUCAGGAGUGGACAGAUGGACUCCAUAACUUCAACAACCACGUCAUCAUUACCCUGCAGUUAUGUCUGUACUUGAGGUACAAUCUCCAGAAUCAUGUGUCUGUGUCUCAAGUUGUCAGCUGUCUUGAGACCUUGCUGAAGGUUAAAUUUCCAGAAAGUGACGUCAUCUUUCAGGGAUACUGCCAGUUUGAGGCUCUGUGUGACACACAGUACAAAUACUCUUGUGUCAGUCGUGGCUUCUACCCACCUGUGAUGGUUAUGGACCUCCACAGAAAAGGAGUAUUCAGUUUUGAGGCUAGUGGGCUUGAACAACCUAGAGAGGAGUUUAAUGGUGAACACGACAUAGCUGCAUUCUGGGAUUCUGUUCAUCUUCACAUGAUCAGCCGAGGAUUUUUUGAGUCACCUGCACAGAACCCAUUUGUAGUGAAACCAAAGUAUGACAACUGGGCACCAUGGAUUGGAGGGGAGACCUGUGAAGGCAACACAGUCCUCAAUACAGAGUUUGAGAAGGUGCCAUUGCAGGGGUCCUCAGGUGACCCUCAGCUAGGCGAUCUGAUGGAGGAACGCUAAGUAGAUGAGCUGCUAAAGCAAAAGCAAUUUACCGUGUCGUGUACACGGACACGUUUUCAGUAAACCUGGCUACCCACCGGACGAUUUUGGGACUGCCGUCUGACAUCGAUGCAUCGGCCUGAUACAAUUCACCCAAGAUUGUUGAUGGGAAGGGACAUCCUCUGCCAGAGGACACAAUCUGUGGUGCGAGGAGAUGCUGGGGCUUUAGGGCUGGGAACAUGGUGCGGCACAGGGGAGAGCAGGCAUGAAUUGAUGGACUGGGUCGCAGCAGCGGUG